rnacentral:rRNA from 1 species
UACGGAGGAUGCAAGCGUUAUCCGGAUUUAUUGGGUUUAAAGGGUGCGCAGGUUGUUUGAUAAGUCAGUGGUGAAAGUCUGUCGCUUAACGGUAGGAUUGCCAUUGAUACUGUUGGACUUGAAUAUGGAUGAGGUAGGCGGAAUGUGUAGUGUAGCGGUGAAAUGCUUAGAUAUCACACAGAAUAUCGAUUGCGAAGGCAGCUCACAAAGCCAAGAUUGACGCUGAGGCACGAAAGUGUGGGGAGUCAAACA